rnacentral:rRNA from 1 species
UUGACCUCAAAUCAAGCAAGACUACCCGCUGAACUUAAGCAUAUCAAUAAGCGGAGGAAAAGAAACUAACAAGGAUUCCCCUAGUAACUGCGAGUGAAGCGGGAAAAGCUCAAAUUUAAAAUCUGACAGUGGUUUCACUGUCCGAAUUGUAAUCUAGAGAAGUGUUGCUCACACUGGACCAUGUAUAAGUCUUCUGGAAUGAAGCGUCAUAGAGGGUGAGAAUCCCGUCUUUGACAUGGACUGCCAGUGUAUUUGUAGCAUGCUCUCAAAGAGUCGAGUUGUUUGGGAAUGCAGCUCUAAAUGGGUGGUAACCUCCAUCUAAAGCUAAAUAUUGGCGAGAGACCGAUAGUGAACAAGUACCGUGAGGGAAAGAUGAAAAGAACUUUGGAAAGAGAGUUAAAAAGUACGUGAAAUUGUUGAAAGGGAAACGCUUGAAGUCAGUCACAUUGGCCAGGGAUCAACUUAUUUUGCUUAAGUGUACUUCCUGGUUGAUGGGCCAACAUCAGCUUUGACUGUCAGAGAAGGGUAGGGGGAAUGUGGCACCCUCUUGGGUGUGUUAUAGCCCUCUGUCUUAUAUGGCAGUUGGGGCUGAGGAAUGCAGCGCGCCACAAGGCCGGGCUUCGACCACGUUCGCGCUUAGGAUGUUGGCAUAAUGGCUUUAAUCGACCCGUCUUGAAACACGGACCAAGGAGUCUAACAUGCCUGCGAGUGUUUGGGUGGAAAACCCGAGUGCAUAAUGAAAGUGAAAGUUGAGAUCCCUGUCAUGGGGUGCAUCGACGCCCGGACCUGAGCUUUUUAGCAAUGGCUCUGCGGUAUAGCAUGUAUGUUGGGACCCGAAAGAUGGUGAACUAUGCCUGAAUAGGGCGAAGCCAGAGGAAACUCUGGUGGAGGCUCGUAGCGAUUCUGACGUGCAAAUCGAUCGUCGAAUUUGGGUAUA